GCAGCCGUGGCCGAGUGGUUAAGGUGAUGGACUAGAAAUCCAUCUUCCCGCACAGGUUUGAAUCCUGUCGACUGCG
rnacentral:tRNA from 1 species